CCGCGGGCGGCGCGCGGCCUCGGGCCCUUGGUGGCGGUCGGGGCCGGUGGGAUUGCGGCCUCCAGAAAUCCUCUCAUCUCAGGAGGAACCUUGCAAGCUCAUGUCUUCCUUCACCUGCGGCCGGCCUGCCACCUGCGGACACGUGGGAAGCACCCCCGCAUCUGGAAGCUUGAAAGUGGUGAAAUCCUCAAGUCUUUUUCAAGUCUCGGGUGGAGCGUCGUCACUUAGGAUGUUGAGCUUAAAGAGCUUCGUGUUGAAAUUUAUAUACAUGGUCCAUGGGGCUGAAAAAGGACCUUCCAGAAAACACUGUAGCGGUACAUGUCAGCCUUCCUGGACUCGGGACAAGCAGGAGAUGCCUGGUGCCUAUGUCUGAAGCGUGAGGCCCUGAACUGCUUUGCCUGAAGAGGGAUACAACGCCCCUCGGGUUGUUGGUUGCUCCCCGCCAGUGCCAGUGGGGUUGGCACAUCCUGCACUGCUCAUUGCUGCCCUGAUAAAACUGUCCCCCCAAAGAUGAGUGAGUCACUCUAGACUUCGUUGUCAACAGUAGCUAAAGAAUUCAAAUGACAUGAGGUAUCCUGGACAGUCUUCGGCAGUCAGUGAGGUUGGGGCACAGCUAAGAGCUCCCGAAUUCAAGGCCGGGGUGCCCGGGCGGGCUCCACACGCUGAUGGCGCUGCCCGAUGAGACCGAUGGGACCGGUCUCUUGGCGGCAGAGACAUGCUCCGCCUGGGGGGUUUCAGGGGAUUUCCCGUGAGGUCUUGUAUCUUGGGCUUAAGUUUUGAAGUACAAAUAAAGUUUACAGACUGAUAUACUAGCGUGUGGCUUUCAGGUUGAAAACCCACGUGGGAAACAGUGUCGUGUUGGGAUUCGGUACACGAGGCGCGUCAGAGUCCUGCUUGGUCCAGCUGCAGGGGUGAGAGCAGAUUGGUUUCCCCAGUGAACUGAUUCUGUGCCCCUCAUGGGUUGCCACCAACAGCUUUAGCACUUCUCAGAUGUGAUGGCUGACAGGUUCUGAGAACUACAGAUGUGGAAAUAAAGAAAAGGAACCUCUGGAUAAAAAGGGGCCUGGGUUUGCGCCGUGCUGGGUCACCUGGGUCACCGGGUUUCUUCACUACAGGUCACUGUGCAUGCGAGAAUGGGCUCACGGGGCGUGGGGGCGCCCUGUAUGUCCCACAUCCAGCCGUGAUCUGGCCACAGAAACAUACUUGGGGCUCUGCGGGCCUCACCAAGGACAGUUUGGCGUUGCUAAGGUAAAGGGAGCUGAGGGGCCUUGCCUCGCUCCAGUAACCGAACUCCCUAUAAGCCCUGCCCUGCAGGCUGCAGGAAGCUGCCUCAGUCACCAAGGCGCAAAGGCCAUUUUGUGUACAAGACGCCUCUGAAUUUCCAAAAUGAGCAGUACUCCGGUUCUGCUUGCUGAGUUCAUCCCUCUAACGGAGCAUGCUGGUAGGUCAGCCUUCCAGAGCCGGGCACCAGGGCCUGGACGCUGCUGAGCUGGUGUGAGCCUUGCUUGGAAAGACCCUUGCCAGCCACACCUUGGGGAACCCAACACUCCCUCCGCCCACCCCACCUUCUCUACAGCCUAGUGCUUCGGACUCAAAGCCCUGGGUCUGGACAGAGAUCCCAGGGCUUCCGUGGGCGGUGUGGUGGCUCCGACCUGCCCACACGCCCACAUACGCUCAAGUGACACCGCCCAUCUAUAAAGCUGGUUCCAAUUUAUUGAAGCCGCGGUGUGACAGCAGGGGUCACCGGUGCCCUGGGGACAAGGUGGCGACAUCUCCAAGGGACUUCCCUUGGGCAGCUGGCCCUCCAACACCCGUGCAGUGAUCGU